rnacentral:rRNA from 1 species
CCUACGGGAGGCAGCAGUGGGGAAUAUUGCGCAAUGGGCGAAAGCCUGACGCAGCGACGCCGCGUGAGGGAUGAAGGUCUUCGGAUCGUAAACCUCUGUCAGCAGGGAAGAACGGUCACUGUGCUAAUCAGCAGUGACUUGACGGUACCUGCAAAGGAAGCACCGGCUAACUCCGUGCCAGCAGCCGCGGUAAUACGGAGGGUGCGAGCGUUAACCGGAAUUACUGGGCGUAAAGCGCUCGUAGGCGGUAUGUCAAGUCAAGGGUGAAAUCCCCGCGCUCAACGUGGGAACUGCCUUUGAAACUGGCAAACUGGAGUGUGUGAGAGGAUAGUGGAAUUCCAGGUGUAGCGGUGAAAUCCGUAGAUAUCUGGAGGAACAUCAGUGGCGAAGGCGACUAUCUGGCACAUAACUGACGCUGAGGAGCGAAAGCGUGGGUAGCAAACAGGAUUAGAUACCCGAGUAGUC